GCAAGUCGAGGGGCAGCGGGAUUGAAGCUUGCUUCAAUUGCCGGCGACCGGCGCACGGGUGAGUAACGCGUAUCCAACCUUCCGUACACUCAGGGAUAGCCUUUCGAAAGAAAGAUUAAUACCUGAUGGUAUGAUGAGAUUGCAUGAUAGCAUCAUUAAAGAUUCAUCGGUGUACGAUGGGGAUGCGUUCCAUUAGGUAGUAGGCGGGGUAACGGCCCACCUAGCCUACGAUGGAUAGGGGUUCUGAGAGGAAGGUCCCCCACAUUGGAACUGAGACACGGUCCAAACUCCUACGGGAGGCAGCAGUGAGGAAUAUUG
rnacentral:rRNA from 1 species